rnacentral:rRNA from 1 species
GAUGAACGCUGGCGGCGUGCCUAAUACAUGCAAGUCGAGCGAAGCGGGGACGGGUGAGUAACACGUGGAUAACCUCCUAUAAGACUGGGAUAACUUCGGGAAACCGGGGCUAACCCGGAUACUGAUAGAUGGAUCUGCGCUGCAUUAGCUAGUUGGUCAGGUAACGGCUUACCAAGGCAACGAUGCCUAGCCGACCUGCGAGUGCGUUCGGCCCCCCUGUAGCUGAGCCCCGGUCCAGACCCCUACGGUAGUCAGCAGUAGGGAAUUUUCCGCAAGCGUCGAAAGCCUGACGGGUCAACGCCGCGUGGGCGAUGAAGGUCUUCGGGUCUUAAAGCUCUGUUAUUCGGGAGGCGGUACCUACUCAGAAAGCCACGGCUAACUACGUGCCAGCCGCCGCGGUAAUUC